GUAGUCUCGCACAGAUGCAUAUCAAUAAGCGGAGGAAAAGAAACUAACAAGGAUUCUCCUAGUAACGGCGAGUGAAGCGGGAAGAGCUCAAAUUUGAAAUCUUAAAGGGUUUCCCUUUACGAAUUGUAGUUUAAAGAAGUGUUUUCUGUUGAGGUUUUGGUAAAAGUUCUUUGGAAUAGGACAUCAUAGAGGGUGAGAAUCCCGUAUUUGACCUUUACUUUCAACUUUGUGAUACACUUUCAAAGAGUCGGAUUGUUUGGGAAUGCAGUCCAAAAUGGGUGGUAAAUUUCAUCUAAAGCUAAAUAUUGGCGAGAGACCGAUAGCGAACAAGUACCGUGAGGGAAAGAUGAAAAGAACUUUGAAAAGAGAGUUAAACAGUACGUGAAAUUGUCAAAAGGGAAGCGUUUGACACCAGUGUUGUUUUUCUGAAAAUCAAUUAAAGAACUGUUUAUGCUAAGCUGUUUAGACUUUAUCAGCUAACUGUUUAGUUUUGAGCUUUUCUUUAAUGCACUUUUCAGUUAACAAGUCAACAUCAAUUUCUUUUGCUGUAAAAAAGCUUGAGGAAGGUGGCUUGAGAUUCGUCUUAAGUGUUUAUAGCCUCUUGCCUAUGCAGUCGGAGAGAUUGAGGUCUGCAGCGUAGAUCCUUCGGGGCUAAAUGCAUUUGUGCUAAGUUAUAGCAUUUUAUAGACAACUUGUUGACUAUGAUUUGUCUUGUAGCUUACUCGCUUAUGUUAUUUUACCUACGCUUAGGAUGUUGAAGACUCUACAGAGAUA
rnacentral:rRNA from 1 species